rnacentral:rRNA from 1 species
UACGGGGGGGGCAAGCGUUGUUCGGAAUUACUGGGCGUAAAGGGCUCGUAGGCGGCCAACUAAGUCGGAUGUGAAAUCCCCAGGCUUAACCUGGGAACUGCAUCCGAUACUGGAUGGCUUGAAUCCGGGAGAGGGAUGCAGAAUUCCAGGUGUAGCGGUGAAAUGCGUAGAUAUCUGGAGGAGUACCGGUGGCGAAGGCGGCAUCCUGGACCGGCAUUGACGCUGAUGAGCGAAAGCGUGGGGAGCGAACAGG